rnacentral:rRNA from 1 species
UACGUAGGGGGCGAGCGUUGUCCGGAUUCAUUGGGCGUAAAGCGCGUGUAGGCGGUCCGGUAAGUCCGCUGUGAAAGUCGGGGGCUCAACCCUCGGAUGCCGGUGGAUACUGUCGGGCUAGAGUGCGGGAGAGGCGAGUGGAAUUCCCGGUGUAGCGGUGAAAUGCGCAGAUAUCGGGAAGAACACCCGUGGCGAAGGCGGCACUCUGGGACGGUACUGACGCUGAGACGCGAAAGCGUGGGGAGCGAACAGG